rnacentral:ncRNA from 1 species
UCGCAGAGAAUCGGUACCAGCUUCUCCAGUCCGACUGGAGAACAACUGGAGAACUUCUCCAGUUCGACUGGAUGGCCGCCUAGUUGCACCUGACAGGUGCGGGUAACCCGUUGAACCCCAUUCGUGAUGGGGAUCGGGGAUUGCAAUUAUUCCCCAUGAACGAGGAAUUCCCAGUAAGUGCGGGUCAUAAGCUCGCGUUGAUUAAGUCCCUGCCCUUUGUACACACCGCCUGUUGCAACUACCGAUUGGAUGGUUUAGUGAGGUCCUCGGAUCGGCCCCACCGCGGUCGGCCAUGGCCCUGGCGGACCGCCGAGAAGACAGUUGAACUUGACUAUCUAGAGGAAGUAAAAGUCGUAACAAGGUUUCCGUAGGUGAACCUGCGGAAGGAUCAUUA